rnacentral:lncRNA from 1 species
GUGGAACUCAGUGCUGGUGUUGUGACUUUGACCUAGAGCCUGAGUGUUACUGCUGAUCUUGGCACUCGUUGGCACAGUGGUAGAGGUGAAAAGUUCAUUUGUCAAGCCCAGGGGCAUAGCGUUAGGAGCCCUCUGAGUUGGGCAUGCAGUAGAAGUUGGUAUUUAGCUCGCCCUCCUCUUCACCCUCCCGUGCAGCUAGGAUUCAGAAAGCUGAGGGUUUCUAAGAAGGAGAGAAGAGCCCACUCUGCAGGUCCUGGCCCUCACAUGCCCAGUGGACCAUUUUACCAUAAUUCCCCCUCCAAAGACCAGCCCUGUCUAAAGUUAUGUGCAACUCAACCUGGAUCCCUCUGCAAGUCCUGAAUCUACUUCACGUUGGUUGAUUUGAGGCUCUGGGUGGGCCCUGAGGGCCAAAGAGAAGCAGGGUCCCCAGGGCUACAUGUGGAUACCUCAGCAAGGCUGUAGGCUGGUCUGUGGUAAGAUGUAAAGAAGGAUAGCUGGGUCUGACUAACUUAGCCAGGGGACACCUUGGCGCAUUUGUUAUCUCCAUCCGAAGGUAGGCUAGCUGGCCCAUCUCCUUGAAUUGUUCCCUUUGGGAAACUUAAUUCACAGUAUUGAUCUCCCUUUUUGCCUUGUACUGAAUGACACAUUACCUCCACGCUCUCCUGGACUAAGCGGUCCACAGGGCCACAGGGUUGCUUUCUCUCUUUUGUGAGGAUGGGGAGUUGACAGGAAUGAGGGUCCAAGGAAUGAGCAUGAAUGACAAGAAAACAAGGGGAACACUAAGCUUUUCCAGGGUGUGCGGUUAAAGGUAUUUGACCAUUUGCUGGCUAGGCCAGAUCACGGGAACUCGAGAGCUUUUACUGUGAUUCUUCAAUGUAAAAAAUAAAACAAUGUCAGACUGUGUUUAUAUGAUUUGUAUAAAGCCUUUUUAAGAUUACUAUUUAAAUAAACAUUAUACCAGAACU